GAUGAACGCUGGCGGCGUGCCUAAUACAUGCAAGUCGAGCGAACAGACGAGGAGCUUGCUCCUCUGACGUUAGCGGCGGACGGGUGAGUAACACGUGGAUAACCUACCUAUAAGACUGGGAUAACUUCGGGAAACCGGAGCUAAUACCGGAUAAUAUAUUGAACCGCAUGGUUCAAUAGUGAAAGACGGUUUUGCUGUCACUUAUAGAUGGAUCCGCGCCGCAUUAGCUAGGUGGUAAGGUAACGGCUUACCAAGGCGACGAUGCGUAGCCGACCUGAGAGGGUGAUCGGCCACACUGGAACUGAGACACGGUCCAGACUCCUACGGGAGGCAGCAGUAGGGAAUCUUCCGCAAUGGGCGAAAGCCUGACGGAGCAACGCCGCGUGAGUGAUGAAGGUCUUCGGAUCGUAAAACUCUGUUAUUAGGGAAGAACAAAUGUGUAAGUAACUAUGCACGUCUUGACGGUACCUAAUCAGAAAGCCACGGCUAACUACGUG
rnacentral:rRNA from 1 species